GUCCCGCCCCGCCGCCCCUCGAGCGCCCCCGACUUCGCUUCUGGCCGGAACCUGCGCCCCGAACCAGGAAGCACCUGGCGGCGGGCGCGGGAUGGCUGGGCCCGGCUGGGGUCUUCCUCGGCUGGACGGUUUCAUCCUUACCGAGCGCCUGGGUAGUGGCACGUACGCCACGGUGUACAAGGCCUACGCCAAGAAGGAUACUCGGGAGGUGGUAGCCAUAAAAUGCGUGGCCAAGAAAAGUCUCAACAAGGCAUCUGUGGAAAACCUCCUGACUGAGAUUGAGAUCCUCAAGGGCAUCCGGCACCCCCAUAUUGUGCAGCUGAAAGACUUCCAGUGGGACAAUGACAAUAUCUACCUCAUCAUGGAGUUCUGCGCAGGGGGUGACCUCUCUCGCUUCAUCCACACCCGCAGGAUCCUGCCUGAGAAGGUGGCUCGUGUUUUCAUGCAACAGCUGGCUAGUGCCCUGAAGUUCCUGCAUGAACGAAACAUCUCUCAUCUGGAUCUGAAGCCCCAGAACAUUCUGCUGAGCUCUUUGGAGAAGCCCCAUCUAAAACUGGCAGACUUUGGCUUUGCACAGCACAUGUCCCCACGAGACGAGAAGCAUGUGCUGCGUGGCUCCCCACUCUACAUGGCUCCUGAGAUGGUGUGUCAACGGCAGUAUGAUGCUCGUGUGGACCUCUGGUCUGUGGGGGUCAUCCUGUAUGAAGCCCUCUUUGGACAGCCUCCUUUUGCCUCCAGAUCGUUCUCAGAGCUAGAAGAAAAGAUUCGCAGCAAUCGGGUUAUUGAGCUCCCCCUUCGGCCCCAACUCUCCCUAGACUGCCGUGACCUGCUGCAGCGACUUCUAGAACGGGAUCCCAGCCGUCGAAUCUCCUUCAAGGACUUCUUUGCACACCCCUGGGUGGACCUGGAGCACAUGCCCAGUGGGGAGAGCCUGGCGCGAGCAACAGCCCUUGUGGUGGAGGCUGUGAAGAAGGACCAGGAGGGGGACGCUGCCACAGCGCUGUCACUCUACUGCAAGGCUCUGGACUUCUUUGUACCUGCCCUGCACUACGAAGUGGAUGCCCAGCGGAAGGAGGCCAUUAAGGCCAAGGUGAGGCAGUAUGUGUCGCGGGCAGAGGAGCUCAAAGCCAUCGUCUCCUCCUCCAGCCAGGCCCUGCUAAGGCAGGGCACAUCUGUCCAAGGCCUGCUGCGAGAGAUGGCCCGUGACAAGCCUCGCCUCCUUGCUGCCCUGGAAGUGGCCUCAGCUGCCAUGGCCAAGGAGGAAGCUGGCAAGGAGCAGGAUGCCCUUGACCUGUACCAGCACAGCCUCGGGGAGCUGCUACUGCUGUUGGCAGGUAAGCAGAAGCCCAGGGCCGAAGGCGGGAACUUCUUCACACUGAGGUUCAGAGCCUCAUGGCUCGAGCUGAAUACCUGAAAGAGCAGAUCAAGAUAAGGGAAUCUCACUGGGAUGCAGCGACUCUGGACAAAGAGGGACUGUCGGAGUCUGUCCGUAGCUCUUGCACACUACAAUGACACCAGAAGGACUAGUGGAUGGGACACAAGCCUGAGAGAAGCCGUUUACCAGCCCAGUUCACACCCAUGCACCUGAGGCCUUCCUGGAUGAACACCUUCAAGAUGCCCUCAUCCUAGUUCCCAGUGUUCAUCUGAGUGCUCUCCACCCCUGGGGAUCUGGUAGCCAGGUGUACUGAACUCUGGGAGGAUUACCUUAAUAUGACAUUGUUAUUAGGUGACUGUUGGCCUCAGGAUAUCAUCACACUGUAUUCUGCUCUGCAAAGAGGACAUCAUGCCUCUUGAGGGCACCUCUCUUCUUUCCCUGCUACCAGGCAGCUGCCGUACCUGGGCCAACCCUUCCUGGGAACCUUUUUUCUAGCCCUGCUUCCUUCUUUCACUGGAACGGGACCCUCCAGUACCCCUCAGGGACUACCUACCCGACAGAAUUCAAUCAGCCCUGCAGAACUCUCCAGUCUUUCCGGGAGCACACGCCUGCCGUUCUUUUCAGUACUUUAAGACAAUCCUUUAUGCAUGAAAGUCAUGUUCUUUGUAGAGGUGGGGUACAUGUGAGAAUUCCAGGCCUAUCCCUGCCUUGGCAUAGAGGAGGGGGUCCUUAAGGGGAACAUGCCACACUGGCCAUCUAGUGGGCCCUGUGCUAGAGCUGGGGGUUGACUGGGCCAGGGUCUUCUCUUUUGUCCUGUUAAGCCAUGGAUACCUCCACAGUUUAUAGCUUAUGUGAGCUGGAGAUGAAUUUACAUACCUGGAAUUAUUAGAGGGUUUCUUUUUAUUGCCCCCCCAAAUCAUCUUGUUUCAAAUUUUUGUGUUGAAGGCUGAUUUUGAAUAAGGAACAGGGGAGCUGUUCUGCAUCAAAUAACCCCAAAUCACAAGCAAUGAGAGUUUCUUUUUUUAUUUGUGUGGGAGGAACAGGGGUUAUUUCUAAAGUCAGAAUGUUGGUGAUUUCUAAUCAUUCUGCCCUUAACUGCCUCCGUAGGGCAAAGUGGAGCAUCUUCCUUGCCAGAGGCUGGGUGUAUGUAAAGAAUGCAGUUCAUUGUUUCUCUAUUAAAUUAUUUUUUGUACUUA